rnacentral:rRNA from 1 species
GGAUAGAUCAUAGAUGCUGGAAUGCGCUUUGAUCCAAAGCUAUUGUGCCUAAGGAUGGGUCUGCGGUCUAUCAGGUUGUAGUGGGUGUAAUGUACCUACUAGCCUACGACGGAUACGGGUUGUGGGAGCAAGAGCCCGGAGAUGGAUUCUGAGACAUGAAUCCAGGCCCUACGGGGCGCAGCAGGCGCGAAAACUUUACAAUGCGGGAAACCGCGAUAAGGGGACACCGAGUGCCAGCAUCCUAUGUUGGCUGUCCAUAUGUCUAAAUCACAUGUGUUAGCAAGGGCCGGGCAAGACCGGUGCCAGCCGCCGCGGUAACACCGGCGGCCCGAGUGGUGGCCACUAUUAUUGGGUCUAAAGGGUCCGUAGCCGGUUUGGUCAGUCUUCCGGGAAAUCUGACGGCUCAACCGUUAGGCUUUCGGGGGAUACUACCAGGCUUGGGACCGGGAGAGGUAAGAGGUACUACGGGGGUAGGAGUGAAAUCUUGUAAUCCCUGUGGGACCACCAGUGGCGAAGGCGUCUUACCAGAACGGGUCCGACGGUGAGGGACGAAAGCUGGGGGCACGGACCGGAUUAGAUACCCGGGUAGUCCCAGCUGUAAACUAUGCUCGCUAGGUGUCAGGGACGGUGCGACCGUUUCUGGUGCCGCAGGGAAGCCGUGAAGCGAGCCACCUGGGAAGUACGGUCGCAAGGCUGAAACUUAAGGAAUUGGCGGGGGAGCACAA